AUAGUUUUUGGCUCUUUUUUCAUUAUGAAAUCUUGUUGAGAGCUUCCAGUCUAUGACAGUUAACUAGUUAGCCACUAGCAAAACACUAAGGCGAGCUAGCAACUUGACAACCAAAUACCAGAUGAUUAAUAGUAGCUGUAGUAUAGUUGUACAAGCAGUAGUAGUAAUACUAAAAGUACAAGCAGUAGUAGUAGUAUAAACAGCUGUUAGAGUCGUAGAAGUAGUAUCAGCAUUUGUAAUAGUAUUACAAGUUGUAGUAGCAGUGCCAGUAUCAGCAGCAGUAGUUAGUGUACUACCACUACUACUAGUAGUAGUCACAUUGCUAUUACUACCAUCAAUAUUACCAAUAGUAGUUAUAAAGCCUAACUCAUAUAUAUCCAGGUUACCAUCUAUGUUCUUCCUCCAAACCCAUUUUAUGAUUGGGAUUACAGGCAGUUCUUUAGGACUGCUCUCAAAUAAUUGAAAUGUUACUAAACAAGGUUAUACUUAUCAAAUUAAAUAGCUCUGGUCUCCAGUAUAUUGGUGAAUUCGGUUCUUUGUACUUAAUUUAUUAGCAUGAUUUCUUUUUAAUAUGUUGUGUACAGACUUAAUUACUUCUCUGUCUACUUUUCUUACUCCAUGUAGGUUUCCCAGAGACUAUGGGUUGAGGAGGAAUUGGAAGUUUGUCGGCUUAGACCUGGUGUCAUUCCAUCAGUGUUUAACUUCCCGGCUCAUCUUGGAAGAGUACGUGCCAGAAAGACCACGACCAAGCAGCCUUGAGAUCUUAGGCAGCAUCUCCCUGAGGUCCCUCUCUAUCUCCCCACACAUCCACCAACCACUGGAACACAUCUCCAAAGUUCUGCUGGGCCAGCUCAGCUUCCCCUCAGAAGAAGUGCCGCCACCUGCCAGAUGAAGGAGCCUUUUGAGAGGCAGCUGGCAUCAUGAUUGGACUGUACUUUGGUCUGUUCCAAUCCAGCUUCAGCUCCAGAGACGGCAGGCGGGACAAGUCAACGGAGGCCGGGUUAACGAAGGCAUGCAGCUGAGUACAAUCCAGAAAACAACAGAGGAGAAGUGCAGCGGCUCAGGGCCAGAACAAACAGAGUAGCAUCGUAUGUCUCUUAGAAAACAUCAUAGUAUAGCCUUUGGUAUGAAAAAACGCCAUCAUGUACAUCGUAUAUUGUACAAAUAACAAGUCAAAGGAAAGAGACAUACAUUGUAGAGUUGUAGUAAUUGUGGGCUGACUGAUUUACUGAUUAUCAGUAUUUUAUUUUUUACUGAUUUAUGGUAAUAAAUCAACUUAAAAAUGGUGCUACUUUGGCUCUGAACCUUUAUCUACCUGUGGUCGCUCUGUCUUCUGGAGUGAUUUGAUUGGUUAUACGUCACCAAUAAAACUCCUUUAACUUAACAUCUGUAAACAAAACAAGUUUGUGUAAGUUUGUGUUCUUGUAAGGUUAACUCCAAGAUUUUAAAUACUUUCAUUUACUGCAAAUGAAUAUGCAAAUGAAUAUACGCCAAAUGUCUCACUAAUAAUCAUUAUCAGCCUUAAAAACCCACAAAACACCCCUCUAUACUCGACCACACUUAGUACAGUCUGGUUCCCCCUUCUAUAAAUCUGCUUGGAAUCGUCCACUUCCUGUUUGUCAAAGUGGCCUUCUACCUGGACAGGUUUUGUUGGAGCUCAUGCAACAAACAUUUUAGGUAACUGCACUUUAAUAUGGAUGGAUGACACUGAAUUAGAGUCUGUUUUAAUGAGACUGAGUUAAGAUGUGUAGCUCUGUCAUUAAAUAGGAAAUUAUUUCUCAGAAUUCACAGAGAAAAGUCUGAAAUGUUUGCUAGGUUAGCAUCCCACAUGUUCUUUGGCUCAGCUAAAGCUAACUCUCUCCAACUUCUGGAUCUCUUGAGUUGCUUGUUGUUAAAAUAUCUUGCUGUAGGUGCUGAAGCUCAGAAAGUCUGAGAUGUUUGUUCAAAAUAAGCUCAUUCUCAAGUCUGAUCUGAACUGUCCUCUUUUGUUUGAACUUUUCCUAAACUUAGGAGUUAAUGACAGAGCAGCACAUCCAGACUCAGUCUCAUUUAUGUAGAGAUUAAACUUCAGUGUCAUUCAUUGAUGUUAAAGUGCAGUUUUUCAAAUGUUUGUUGCACAUGCUCCCGACCAAACCAGUCCAGAUGGAAGACGAUGUGAAGAGAAAGCUCCAGAGGAUGAAUAUCACACAUUUACGUUGUAAAUAAAUGUCCUUUAAUUAGACAUUGUCAUGCAAAAGUCGGAUUUCCCUUUAAUGAUGUUCAAAUCUUUGUUGAGUGUUUUGUUGAUGUUGUUUUCUAAAUAUUUUUUUAAACUCGGCCCCAAAGAUUAAAACCUUUUCCGGCUCACAAGCUGCAACAAUUCACACAUUAUCAACUAUCUUUCUGACUAAACUAAGAUAAAAAGUGAAAAACCGCUUGAUUCCUGCAUCGUGAAUGUAAAUCUUUUUGGUUUUUAUGACAGUAAACUGAAUAUAUUUGGGUUUGACAUUUUAUAAACCAAAACAAGAAAUGAAUUACUGCAGAAAACAAUCAACGGGUUAAUGGACAAAGGAAAAUGUAUUUUCCAACAUAUAUGGCUGAAUUACUCCAACAUUACAAGAUACAUACAAUUUAAAUUCAGUUUUAUUUAUAUAACGCCAAUUACAGGUCAAAUUGUCUCAAGACGCUUUAUUUUUAUAUUUUUUUGUCAUAUUUAAAAUAUGACAAAGUAAGAAAUUUAAACCUCUUGACUAAUCCAAUUUAUUGUUUGGUUUUUAAGAGACUAAUCGUCAACUAAAAUAACUUUCUCCACUAAAACUAAUAAACAUGAGGUCAAAUAGAAGGAACAGUUUUAAAUACUGCAGUUCCAUGACGACAAGAAUAAAGUUUGUCAACAAAAAGUAAAUCUGCUGGUGGAUUCCAUGAAAGUCCUAAUAAAUGAUAAUAAAGUGUGAUACUAAAGAUUUGUGGUGCUAAAAAUCUCCAAGUAAAGAUAUCAAGUUGAACGUCUGGAUGGAGGUUGAUAAAAGGUGACCUCCCUUCAUUUCUCUGGAACCGACUCCAUGGAUUUUAUGGAUGGUGGUUAAAGACCUGCUCUUCUAGUGGUCUUCCUUCUAGUCACUGUAAAAAGUCAGUCCAUCCUGACCGACUUCAACACCUCUUCAUGACAACUUGUUCUGCCUCAGACAUGGUGGAAACUCCAGAAACUCGGGAAAACCCGUGGAGACUCGAAGAACUCGUGGAGACUCGAAGAACUCGUGGAGACUCGAAAAACUCAUCGGACGGGGGAAGGUGUGGUGGGCGGUGGGGGGAGUCAGGGCGGAGAGUAGGUGGAGAGGUGGGUGGCGGCCUCCCACCUCUACUCCCCACCCACCUCCCCGCCUACUCUCCGCCCUGACACCACCCAGACUCCGCCUUGGCUCCGCCCAUGUGGUCACUUCAUUAACUACGAUGCCAAAGGGACGACGAAAUUAUUUCUUUUCAUCUGAUCUGUAGCUCAGUGAGUUAAGGAUUUGCCUAUGGAGCUGCAGGUCGCUGGUUCAAGACCAGACCCUUCUUAAACUUUAUCAAAAUUCUGACAAAGACAAAGAGAGAAAAAUGCCGGUGGUGGGUCUUGAACCUGCGACCUUCCGCUCUGUAGUCUCUCUUCUUAUCCCCCUGAGCUAUUCGCUCAGAUACUAAAGCUUCUGGUUUUUGCACAUUUAUCAUCUAUUUUUUGUCGUUUUUGAAUUUUUUUUUAACUCGAGGUCCAUCUUGACCGUUUUUCUCAGGAGGUUGGACUUCAGCCUUUGUGCUGGUGGGUUGAACCUUCAGUUCCAAGACUUUCCAAAGCCUCCACACCUCCCGAGUCCUCAGGACCUGAGCUUUCACACAGUCUGAGGGCUGAAAUUUUCUAAGUCCCACAGUAGUUCUCUGUUAGAUUUAACUUUCAGACAGUCCAAGGACUGAUAUCUUCUAAGUUCUUGAGUAGUUCUCUGUUAGUUUGAACCUUUCGACAGUCUGAGGGCUGAAGUUUUAAAGGUUUCUCAGUACUGCUCUGUUAGUUUGAACCUUUCGACAGUCUGAGGAUUGAAAUUUUGAAAGUUUCUCAGUACUUCUCUGUUAGUGUGAACUUUCUGGUUAACAGAAGCCUUAAAACUUGUGACCAUGAGUCUUGAUUUCACAUUUAGACCAUGGAUCUGAGUUCUUCUCAGACCUUCACUUGUGGGUUUUUUAGAAAUCCUCAACAAACUUUGAUUCUCUUCACUGAACAGUAAAGUUUAUGGAGAUCAGAAGGUAACAUUAGUUUGAUCAAUGCCUUCAACUACUAGUAGACUUUAUCUGGAAAGCAGUUUUCUGAAAUGAGCACUUAGUAAAUCUGUCUGCAAUCAAACCAAGAACAUACAAAGAGGAAAUGUUUGAAGAAACAACUUGUUUUCAUUUCAGACUACAAAAUGCUUAAAGACCUUUAUCUGUUUUUGCUCUUUUUGAUCGUUUUAUUGUCUCUUCUGUUUAAUUUGAUCUUCCAAAGCUUAACUGGUGUCUUUUCAAAUGUUUUGUCUUUAGUUUGAUUCUUCUUAAAUGUUUAGUUUUGCUCUUUUCUCACCUUUUAUUCUUUUCUAAUGUCUGAUUUGAUUUCGAAAUGUUUUGUCUUUUUAAUGUUUAAUUGUUUUUUCAAAUGUUUUAUCGGCUUGUUUGAAUUUUUUUUUCUUUCCCAAUAUUUAAUUUUUCGAUUAAAUCUUUACGGUUUUUCUUUUUAAAUGUUUUACCACCUUUUAAUGUUUAAUUUUCUUUUUAAAUGCUUCACUGUAUUUUCUCUUUAAUUCCUAUUUGAAGUUUUAUUGUCUUUAAGAUGUAAUUUUCUAAUUAAACAUUUUUUUAAUUGAA